rnacentral:rRNA from 1 species
CACGUAGGGGGCGAGCGUUGUCCGGAUUCAUUGGGCGUAAAGGGCGCGCAGGCGGCCCGGAAAGUCGGAUGUGAAAACUCGAGGCUCAACCUCGAGCGUGCACCCGAUACUGCCGGGCUUGAGGCAGGUAGGGGAGAUCGGAAUUCCUGGUGUAGCGGUGAAAUUCGUAGAUAUUAGGAAGAACACCAGUGGCGAAGGCGGCUCACUGGCCCGGUACUGACGCUGAGGCGCGAAAGCGUGGGGAGCAAACAGG